GAAAAUGAGGAGAGUUUCUUGAUUUCAGUGAAUUUGCAAUCGAGCUUGAAAUGUAGAUACUAAUGGCCGUAUGGAAGUCUCUCUGUGCAGAAAUACUGGCCUUUGCUGAAUCCCAUCAAGCUGAACAGGUCAUAGCUGCGGUAUGAAAUUAUUUAGUCUUAUCAGAAACAUCUGCUCCAUUUGACUGUGCUUCCAAAAGUUGCUGCUGGUGGUAGGCUUGGAGGAGGUUCUUUGGUUUGGAUGGAAGGUUUUGAAGACUCCCUGUGCUCUUCUUUUGGUGUCAGUAUGUUACCUUCUGGAGAAACACCUCCUGAUAAGAGUUUAGCAGACUAAAGGGGCAGCUCCAAAAGUAAUGCCUCCUAUUUUAUGAUGUUGGCCAGUGAUGUCAGAGGUGGAUGUUGGUGGUAUGGCAGUAGAGAUUGAACCUUCCCACCAAUAUUCUGUUACAUUUCGCUGCUGUGUGACAGAUGGUAGCAGAGGGGCAGUCUGACAAAAUGGCAUCUGACAUGGAAGCGCCUAUGAAGAAUGGUACUGAAUUCCUCCAUGCAGAAAAAAUUGGCACCCUUCAGUAUUCAUCAAUGCUUGCUGAAUGUUUCUGGAGACCAAACAGUGGAUGUGAGAUGGAACUGGGGCUGUGAACGGUGCAUUUCAGCAGUGGUGAUAGUAACAUGAAAGACAAGCCAUGUUCCAGAUGGCCAUGCUGAUUUUUACAAGCAUGACAUGCAAGCUCUUUUUCAUCACUGGUGAGAAUAAACAGCUAAUGGUUGUGAUUAUGUUGAAAAAAUAGUGUUUUUGAGCUGAGAAUUUGCUCUAUCAAACAGAGUAUUGUGUUUUCUGUAUCUGUUGUGAUUUCCGUGGAAAUAAAUAGGAGCCAUUACUUUUGGAGUCAUCCACAUAAGUUACACACUCUAAAAAGUAAAUGUCUAGAUGAUUGGGAAAGUCAAGGGGAUAGGGAUGGACUAUGAUGCCCUCCAUUCACCCAUGCCAGUUAGAUCCUACCCCUCCUGAAAAUAGCUCAGAGCUCUUAACUCAGUGAUGACUUUUCAGCCAUUGAUGUAAAAUAUGUGGGAUGAGCUCAAGGUAACUCCCACGAGAAAUACAUCACUGGAGAAAUACAUGCUCCUCUUCACUGCCUCCCUCAACACAGAUGGGCAACUCCCUGGGGCAGGGAAUCCCUACUGUAAGAUUCUUUUUCCAGCUGUGAUCUCUGUACAGGGAUUUGAUGGCUGGGUGAUCACGUUCUCAGGCUGCAUGGGGGAUGGCUGCUCACACAAAAACACGGAGAGGAGCAGCAUCCUCAGGAAAGAGGCUGACACACAGAGCAGAAUGCAGGAAUACUGAUGGCACAGCAUGAGUGAAUUUCUAUUGUUUUCCUUCAAAUAUCUUCUAGUGUUCUAGGUAGGGAACAAAACCUGUCUUUUCAUAAUCAUUAAAGCCACAUUAUUCAUUUAAGCAUGGAAACACUGGCACAAAUGUUAAUCCUAGUAGCUCAAUAGACUCACGCAAUGUAUACAGACAAUUUCAGAUCAUUUGCAAGAAAUACUGUAUUCCCCAAGUUCCACCUUUACUGUCACAGUUGCUAUUAGAUAGUUGGAUAAAAUGCCAAUGCUGACAGUGUCGGGAGGGUUUGUACCUGUUAAAAUGUCACUCAAUAUGUGAUUUUUCUGACAAUUUGGGUGCUGCUGAAAAAAGCCAGGUUGACAAGCUUACUCCAUUUCAGCUUUCUUUUUUUCUAUUGUGUACUCUCAGCUCUUUCAUGGGCUUUAUAAUAAAUAAAACCUCAAAUUUGUCCACCUAAAAGGCUUUCUUACAGUAAGGCAGUCCUAGCUCAAAUAAUCGUUUCCAAUUUCAUUGUGUUGAAAGAGCAGAAUGCGUGUGCUCACACACGUAUGUGGAUGACUAAAAUCUCAUCCAAAACACUGUGUGUUUCCUAUUGCUGUGAAGGGAGUAGUAAGAACCUUUGAAUUCCCACA
rnacentral:lncRNA from 1 species